CCUACGGGUGGCAGCAGUGGGGAAUAUUGCGCAAUGGGCGAAAGCCUGACGCAGCGACGCCGCGUGAGGGAUGAAGGUCUUCGGAUCGUAAACCUCUGUCAGCAGGGAAGAACGGUCACUGUGCUAAUCAGCAGUGAAUUGACGGUACCUGCAAAGGAAGCACCGGCUAACUCCGUGCCAGCAGCCGCGGUAAUACGGAGGGUGCGAGCGUUAAUCGGAAUUACUGGGCGUAAAGCGCUCGUAGGCGGUAUGUCAAGUCAAGGGUGAAAUCCCCGCGCUCAACGUGGGAACUGCCUUUGAAACUGGCAAACUGGAGUGUGUGAGAGGAUAGUGGAAGUCGAGGUGUAGGAGUGAAAUGCGUAGAUAUCUGGAAGAACAUCAGUGGCGAAGGCGACUAUCUGGCACAUAACUGACGCUGAGGAGCGAAAGCGUGGGUAGCAAACAGGAUUAGAUACCCUGGUAGUC
rnacentral:rRNA from 1 species